rnacentral:rRNA from 1 species
GAUGAACGCUGGCGGCGUGCCUAAUACAUGCAAGUCGAGCGAACAGACGAGGAGCUUGCUCCUCUGACGUUAGCGGCGGACGGGUGAGUAACACGUGGAUAACCUACCUAUAAGACUGGGAUAACUUCGGGAAACCGGAGCUAAUACCGGAUAAUAUAUUGAACCGCAUGGUUCAAUAGUGAAAGACGGUUUUGCUGUCACUUAUAGAUGGAUCCGCGCCGCAUUAGCUAGUUGGUAAGGUAACGGCUUACCAAGGCAACGAUGCGUAGCCGACCUGAGAGGGUGAUAGGCCACACUGGAACUGAGACGCGGUCCAGACUCCUACGGGAGGCAGCAGUAGGGAAUCUUCCGCAAUGGGCGAAAGCUUGACGGAGCAACGCCGCGUGAGUGAUGAAGGUCUUCGGAUCGUAAAACUCUGUUAUUAGGGAAGAACAAAUGUGUAAGUAACUAUGCACGUCUUGACGGUACCUAAUCAGAAAGCCACGGCUAACUACGUG